UACGUAGGGGGCAAGCGUUGUCCGGAAUCAUUGGGCGUAAAGAGCGUGUAGGCGGCCCGAUAAGUCCGCUGUGAAAGUCCAGGGCUCAACCCUGGGAUGCCGGUGGAUACUGUCGGGCUAGAGUGCGGAAGAGGCGAGCGGAAUUCCUGGUGUAGCGGUGAAAUGCGCAGAUAUCAGGAGGAACACCUAUUGCGAAGGCAGCUCGCUGGGACGUCACUGACGCUGAGACGCGAAAGCGUGGGGAGCAAACAGG
rnacentral:rRNA from 1 species